rnacentral:rRNA from 1 species
CCUACGGGAGACAGCAGUAGGGAAUUUUCGUCAAUGGGCGCAAGCCUGAACGAGCAAUGCCGCGUGAACGAGGAAGGUCUUCGGAUCGUAAAGUUCUGUUGAAGGGGAAAAAGAGCGGAGAGAGGAAAUGAACUCCGAUUGAUAUUACCCUUCGAGGAAGUCCCGGCUAACUACGUGCCAGCAGCCGCGGUAAUACGUAGGUGGCGAGCGUUAUCCGGAAUGAUUGGGCGUAAAGGGUGCGUAGGCGGCCUGCUAAGUCUGGAGUGAAAGGUACCGGCUCAACCGGUACAGGCUCUGGAAACUGGCGGGCUAGAGAGCAGGAGAGGGCGGUGGAACGCCAUGUGUAGCGGUAAAAUGCGUAGAUAUAGGGAAGAACACCAGUGGCGAAGGCGGCCGCCUGGCCUGUGACUGACGCUGAGGCACGAAAGCGUGGGGAGCAAAUAGGAUUAGAUACCCCGGUAGUC